ensembl:lncRNA
GGACAACGGGAUGAGAGGUGUGAGGAGGACAACGGGAUGACAGGUGUGAGGAGGACAACGGGAUGAGAGCAACAUGUCCUCAUCUGGGAUCCGUAACUCACAAGCUCUUGGUUCACGGUACGCCGAUCUUCCUGCUACGCCACCGUGUCCGUGUCAGGAAAACCCUUACAGAAUCACCCACCACAACAGGACCAAGCGGCGUGGUAACCGGCAACAGCAACACCGGCGCAAAGAGGAAUGGACAUGGGACGAUGUAUUGGACGGCAAGGGUUGCUACACCUGGGAGGAGAUCCUGGCGGAAAAGGAUCGCCUUCCAUGGGAACAGGUAGAGGCAGCUAGGAGAGCAGAGGCAGCCGGAGAGAGGAGCCGGCGAUAUGAG